CUUGUCGGAGCCUAGUCCUCACCUCUCUGAAGGCUGAGCACCAGGUGGACCUGACUCUUACCUUCCUCCAGGACCCUGUCUCCCAUCCACAUGCGACUCUGCCCAUCCAGCCUCACUUGGGUCAUGCAUCAGUCAUGAGGGGCUGGCUGGACUCCUCCCGGCUCAGCUGUAUGGCAACAGCUCCUGCCUCUAGGUCUGGUAAGUGAUAGGCCUUCAGAACAAAUGUUA
rnacentral:lncRNA from 1 species